rnacentral:misc_RNA from 1 species
AACGUAGGGGGCAAGCGUUGCCCGGAUUCACUGGGCGUAAAGCGGGUGUAGGCGGUCCGUUAAGUCGGGUGUGAAAUCCCAGGGCUUAACCCUGGAAUUGCAUCCGAUACUGGCGGACUUGAGGACGGUAGAGGCAGGUGGAAUUCCCGGUGUACCGGUGAAAUGGGCAGAUAUCGGGAGGAACACCAGUGGCGAAGGCGGCCUGCUGGGCCGAUCCUGACGCUGAGACCCGAAAGCCAGGGGAGCGAACCGG